rnacentral:rRNA from 1 species
UACGUAGGGUGCAAGCGUUGUCCAGAAUCAUUGGGCGUAAAGCGCGUGUAGGCGGCCCGGUAAGUCCGCUGUGAAAGUCGGGGGCUCAACCCUCGGAUGCCGGUGGAUACUGUCGGGCUAGAGUACGGAAGAGGCGAGUGGAAUUCCUGGUGUAGCGGUGAAAUGCGCAGAUAUCAGGAAGAACACCCGUGGCUAAGGCGGCUCUCUAGUACGGUACUGACGCUGAGACGCGAAAGCGUGGGGAGCGAACAGG